UGAGUAUUUAAAGGGAUCUCAGCUCUAAC
rnacentral:piRNA from 1 species